GCUUAGUUGGUAGAGCACAAGGCUCUUAACCUUAUGGACGUGGGUUCGAGCCCCAU
rnacentral:tRNA from 1 species